UACGGAGGGUGCGAGCGUUGUCCGGAAUCACUGGGCGUAAAGGGCGCGUAGGUGGCCUGUGGAAGUCUGCGGUGAAAGCCCGGCGCUCAACGCCGGGUCGGCCGUGGAUACUCUCGGGCUCGAGCUUACUAGAGGCAGAUGGAAUUCCGGGUGUAGCGGUGGAAUGCGUAGAGAUCCGGAAGAACACCGGUGGCGAAGGCGGCUCUCUGGAACGCAACUGACGCUGAGACGCGAAAGCGUGGGGAGCAAACAGG
rnacentral:rRNA from 1 species